UUAAGUGACUAAGCGUACACGGUGGAUGCCUAGGCAGUCAGAGGCGAUGAAGGGCGUGCUAAUCUGCGAAAAGCGUCGGUAAGGUGAUAUGAACCGUUAUAACCGGCGAUACCCGAAUGGGGAAACCCAGUGUGUUUCGACACACUAUCAUGUCAUGAAUACAUAGUGGCAUGAGGCGAACCGGGGGAACUGAAACAUCUAAGUACCCCGAGGAAAAGAAAUCAACCGAGAUUCCCCCAGUAGCGGCGAGCGAACGGGGAGGAGCCCAGAACCUGAAUCGGCUUGUGUGUUAGUGGAAGCGUCUGGAAAGUCGCGCAGUAAAGGGUGAUAGCCCCGUACACUAAAAUGCACAGGUCGUGAGUUCGAUGAGUAGGGCGGGACACGUGACAUCCUGUCUGAAUAUGGGGGGACCAUCCUCCAAGGCUAAAUACUCCUGACUGACCGAUAGUGAACCAGUACCGUGAGGGAAAGGCGAAAAGAACCCCGGCGAGGGGAGUGAAACAGAACCUGAAACCGUGUACGUACAAGCAGUGGGAGCACCUUCGUGGUGUGACUGCGUACCUUUUGUAUAAUGGGUCAGCGACUUAUAUUUUGUAGCAAGGUUAACCGUAUAGGGGAGCCGUAGGGAAACCGAGUCUUAACUGGGCGAAUAGUUGCAAGGUAUAGACCCGAAACCCGGUGAUCUAGCCAUGGGCAGGUUGAAGGUUGGGUAACACUAACUGGAGGACCGAACCGACUAAUGUUGAAAAAUUAGCGGAUGACUUGUGGCUGGGGGUGAAAGGCCAAUCAAACCGGGAGAUAGCUGGUUCUCCCCGAAAGCUAUUUAGGUAGCGCCUCGUGAACUCAUCUUCGGGGGUAGAGCACUGUUUCGGCUAGGGGGCCAUCCCGGCUUACCAAACCGAUGCAAACUCCGAAUACCGAAGAAUGUUAUCACGGGAGACACACGGCGGGUGCUAACGUCCGUCGUGAAGAGGGAAACAACCCAGACCGCCAGCUAAGGUCCCAAAGUCAUGGUUAAGUGGGAAACGAUGUGGGAAGGCACAGACAGCCAGGAUGUUGGCUUAGAAGCAGCCAUCAUUUAAAGAAAGCGUAAUAGCUCACUGGUCGAGUCGGCCUGCGCGGAAGAUGUAACGGGGCUAAACCAUGCACCGAAGCUGCGGCAGCGACGCUUAGGCGUUGUUGGGUAGGGGAGCGUUCUGUAAGCCGUCGAAGGUGGCCUGUGAGGGUUGCUGGAGGUAUCAGAAGUGCGAAUGCUGACAUAAGUAACGAUAAAGCGGGUGAAAAGCCCGCUCGCCGGAAGACCAAGGGUUCCUGUCCAACGUUAAUCGGGGCAGGGUGAGUCGACCCCUAAGGCGAGGCUGAAAAGCGUAGUCGAUGGGAAACAGGUUAAUAUUCCUGUACUUGGUGUUACUGCGAAGGGGGGACGGAGAAGGCUAGGCUGGCCGGGCGACGGUUGUCCCGGUUUAAGCGUGUAGGGGGUGUGACCUGGUAAAUCCGGUUGCAUAUCAACCCUGAGGCGUGAUGACGAUGCACUACGGUGCAGAAGUAGUUGAUGCCCUGCUUCCAGGAAAAUCCUCUAAGCUCCAGGUAACAUUAAAUCGUACCCCAAACCGACACAGGUGGUCAGGUAGAGAAUACCAAGGCGCUUGAGAGAACUCGGGUGAAGGAACUAGGCAAAAUGGUGCCGUAACUUCGGGAGAAGGCACGCUGGCAUGUAGGUGAAGUCCCUCGCGGAUGGAGCUGAAGCCAGUCGAAGAUACCAGCUGGCUGCAACUGUUUAAUAAAAACACAGCACUGUGCAAACACGAAAGUGGACGUAUACGGUGUGACGCCUGCCCGGUGCUGGAAGGUUAAUUGAUGGGGUCAGCCGCAAGGCGAAGCUCUUGAUCGAAGCCCCAGUAAACGGCGGCCGUAACUAUAACGGUCCUAAGGUAGCGAAAUUCCUUGUCGGGUAAGUUCCGACCUGCACGAAUGGCGUAAUGAUGGCCAGGCUGUCUCCACCCGAGACUCAGUGAAAUUGAACUCGCUGUGAAGAUGCAGUGUACCCGCGGCAAGACGGAAAGACCCCGUGAACCUUUACUAUAGCUUGACACUGAACAUUGAGCCUUGAUGUGUAGGAUAGGUGGGAGGCUUUGAAGCGUGGACGCCAGUCUGCGUGGAGCCAUCCUUGAAAUACCACCCUUUAAUGUUUGAUGUUCUAACUCGGCCCCGUGAUCCGGGGUGAGGACAGUGUCUGGUGGGUAGUUUGACUGGGGCGGUCUCCUCCCAAAGAGUAACGGAGGAGCACGAAGGUUAGCUAAUCACGGUCGGACAUCGUGAGGUUAGUGCAAAGGCAUAAGCUAGCUUGACUGCGAGAGUGACGGCUCGAGCAGGUACGAAAGUAGGUCUUAGUGAUCCGGUGGUUCUGAAUGGAAGGGCCAUCGCUCAACGGAUAAAAGGUACUCCGGGGAUAACAGGCUGAUACCGCCCAAGAGUUCAUAUCGACGGCGGUGUUUGGCACCUCGAUGUCGGCUCAUCACAUCCUGGGGCUGAAGUAGGUCCCAAGGGUAUGGCUGUUCGCCAUUUAAAGUGGUACGCGAGCUGGGUUUAGAACGUCGUGAGACAGUUCGGUCCCUAUCUGCCGUGGGCGUUGGAAGAUUGAGAGGGGUUGCUCCUAGUACGAGAGGACCGGAGUGAACGCACCACUGGUGUUCGGGUUGUCAUGCCAAUGGCAUUGCCCGGUAGCUAAGUGCGGAAAAGAUAAGCGCUGAAAGCAUCUAAGCGCGAAACUUGCCUCAAGAUGAGUCUUCCCUGGGCCUUUAAGGCCCCUGAAGGAACGUUUAAGACUAAGACGUUGAUAGGCUGGGUGUGUAAGUGCAGCGAUGCAUUGAGCUAACCAGUACUAAUGAUCCGUGAGGCUUAACCUU
rnacentral:rRNA from 1 species